CACGUACAGAUUUUGAACAAUAAAAUUGCAGUAUAGCUAUCAUUUAUAGCAGUUUACAGUUAGUUCUAUAUGGCGAUUUCAGAACCAUCCUCAGAGAUACGAAAAACUAGUUUCAUAUUAAUCUGAUACUGCAAUCGAGCAACGAACAAUUCGUUGGCUCGAGCGGGAUUUGAACUCGCAUCUUCGGGUAUCUAGACCGCCGCUCUACCUAUUGAGCUAUCGAGUCAACAGGGAUUGGUAGCGAGUCUUAUCCAAUUUAAGUGCACGAAAUAUUUUUGUGACGACUUAACGCUUGUCUUAGAGGACGCACAGUACGAAAAAUAUGGCGAGUUAAGGCUAGUUUUCACUCAGGAAAAUUACCCGUGGUUGGAACGGACAAGAAAAUUUUUCUUUGUGGCAAAGUCAUUAGUUCCAACCCAGAGCUCACAAGACAAAGAAAAAUUUUCUUGUCCGUUCCAAUCCACGGAUAAUUUUCCUGAGUGGAAACUAGCCUUAAGCGGCAGACAUUCCAGGAACUAAAAAUUAGGAAGGCUGCUCAGUGAGUUCCAAACCAAAGGCAAUCUAGUUCUGGGGGAAAACUGAAAAUUUUAAAAGCCUUCUGAAAUGGUAUUUCCCGCAUUAAUUUUGGGAAUAUGUUGUUAUAAGUGAUUCUAUAAAUUAUCAUAAAGUAACUUCAUAAAAAGGUCAAGACAAACUAUAUUGCUAAAAGCAGUAUGUUUACCAGAUUUUUUUACGAUAUUUCCCGAAUACUCGGGAGAAUUUGAUAUAAAUGAAUUUUCGGGAGAGUAAGGCCCGUUUAACAUGAGACCGAGACGAAGUAUGAGACCGGGACGAAAAUUACAAAAUUUUCAAUUUAUUCCCCUUGCCAGGCAAUUUUCUUUUUUAGAUGUCUUUUGUUAGCAUGUGUUGUUCCAAUAUCAAGGUUACAGCCGAGACCGGUUUGAAAUGUAUUUGUGUCAAAUCAAUGUAUUUCGGCUCGAUCCAGUAAGCGGAAUGACUUGAGACUGGUCACAUGUAAACGACGUAAACAUCUGUUAUAAAUAAUAUGACCGAAACGGUCCCAGUUUGGCUUUGUUCCGGUCUCACGUAAACGGGGCCUAAGUUGGAAUGUCUGUGCAUGGGCAGUCUGCUGGGAGCUUACUAAAAUAUGUCCACUAUUCGUGAAAUUUUUCCUAGGAUUAUGUCUUUCACAGUUUUAUCAUAGGUCCUAAAGUUUCUGUCGUGAAUUUCCAUGCGAAAACUCGCAUUUAACUUUCGUAGUCUUCGUAUACACUCCUUGUGAUAGCAGCCAUGUUGCCAAAAUAUCAUCCGGUUAAUGAAUAACUUUUGGACUUUCAUUGUAUUCGCAUUGACCAAUCAACUCACAUUCUGAGUUGGAUUCUCCCAGGGCUUUUGACAAGCAAAAAGCGCAGAAGCCCUGGGUACGAGGUUGUUCGACACAUCAGUUGGAAUAAUUUCUCCUCUUGCAAAGUCAUACUAAUCCUG